GGAGUUAGCCGGUGCUUCUUCUGUGAGUGAUGUCCUUCCUGCCGGCUAUUAACCCGCAGGCCUUCUUCCUCACUGAAAGUGCUUUACAACCCGAAGGCCUUCUUCACACACGCGGCAUGGCUGGAUCAGGGUUGCCCCCAUUGUCCAAUAUUCCCCACUGCUGCCUCCCGUAGGAGUCUGGGCCGUGUCUCAGUCCCAGUGUGGCUGAUCAUCCUCUCAGACCAGCUACGGAUCGUCGCCUUGGUGAGCCGUUACCUCACCAACCAGCUAAUCCGACAUAGGCUCAUCCGAUAGCGCGAGGCCCGAAGGUCCCCCGCUUUCCCCCGUAGGGCGUAUGCGGUAUUAGCCUGGGUUUCCCCCAGGUUAUCCCCCACUACCGGGCAGAUUCCUAUGCAUUACUCACCCGUCCGCCGCUCGCCACCAGGGAGCAAGCUCCCCGUGCUGCCGCUCGACUUGCAUGUGUUAGGCGUCGCCGCCACGCGUCAUCUGAGCCACGAACUACGAACCCGUACGA
rnacentral:rRNA from 1 species